CCUACACCUACUCUUAUCACUUGUAAUCCAAAAAAGCUCCAUUUCUUUCUUAUACGCUAAUUCACUAUUAAAUAGAAAUGUAUAUGCAAAACAGCGAGAAAUUUGUAGAUACGUUGAAUGUUGUUGCUUUCACAUUUGCAACUCUUAGUAGUUGUUCAAAACAACAAUGUCGAGCAAAGAUGUUUGCGAUGUUUGAAUGAUUCUUGGAUUGUAUUUGGAUUCCAUCGGUACUAUGGCCUGUUGAUUCGGCACCUUUGUCAUUUUAGCAACUUUUGUUUUCUUUUCUGUGUCGAUGUAGUUCUCUAUACCAUAUUCAUGUUCAUAUUCAUGUUCAUAUUCAUGUUCAUAUCAAUGUCCAUAUCAAUGUCCAUAUCAAUUUCCCAUGUUCCAUUACAUAUCCCGUGUUCUUUCCUUCUUCCAGCUUUUACAUGCUAGCCUUUUAUACAAUGAUUCCUCUCAUCUCGACUCGCUUGAUGAAUGGGCGUUUAGUUUUUGCAACAACAUAUGCGUUGGGUUAUCUCAUAUCGGGAAACACUUUCUGCCACUUUUAACUUGAACAAAGUUGGAGAAAUAAAGUGAUGGCAGAUAUUGCAAGUUGUUUAUAGUGUGCCUGUAGAAAUGUAAAAACGCUAUGUUUCGUGAAUGCCCAGCCUGUAAAUCGAAAUAAGAUUUCGUAUUUAUUAAGCAUUGGAAGAUCACAAUUGGAAAAAACACGAUACGGNUGGUCUCUUCACAGUCGUUCUCCAGUC
rnacentral:sRNA from 1 species